GUAAAGCACUUUCAGUAGGGAGGAAGGUAGUGUAGUUAACACCUGCAUUAUUUGACGUUACCUACAGAAGAAGCACCGGCUAACUCCGUGCCAGCAGCCGCGGUAAUACGGAGGGUGCGAGCGUUAAUCGGAAUUACUGGGCGUAAAGCGCAUGCAGGCGGCCUGUUAAGUCAGAUGUGAAAGCCCGGGGCGUUAACCUACGGAAUUGCAUUUAGAAACUGGCAGGCUAGAGUCUUGUAGAGGGGGGUAGGAAUUUCAGGUGUAGCGGUGAAAUGCGUAGAGAUCUGAAGGAAUACCAGUGGCGAAGGCGGCCCCCUGGACAAAGACUGACGCUCAGAUGCGAAAGCGUGGGGAGCAAACAGGAUUAGAUACCCUGGUAG
rnacentral:rRNA from 1 species